rnacentral:lncRNA from 1 species
UUGCACUCCUUCUAGUCUGUGUACUGAGCACCCAUGAUAUGCCGGGCACGGUGCUAGAUCUGAAGGUGCUAGAUCCGAAAAAGGCAUAGUCCUUGGCCUCAAGGAGUCUAGUGGGAGGGGCCUCGUGAACACUCAAUUGCCAUAAGAGUGUGGAGGGCUGCGGUGUGCCCGGGUGCUUGGGAAUGCUGUAGCGUGGAUUCCUACUUGGUCUUCAGGGGGCCGGCACUGAAGAGAGGCUGACCAAAGAGAAAAUCAAAGUCGAGUCCUCAUGGAUGAAUAGGAGUUCCUGGGACGAGGUGAUGGUAGGAAAAGGUGUCAGUGAGCAGGUGAGGAGGGCAUUCCAGGUAGACGGUCCGCAGGAGCCAAGGUUCAAUGGCGACAGAGGAGAAACGCACCAUUUAGAACGUGUAAGCAUAAAGUGAGAAGAAAGGGGAAGUCAGGAGGUGCGAUGCCGAGCUCCGCUAAAGAACAAGUCCUGAGCGCAAUGGGGAGCCACAAAAUGGCUGAAAGCAGCAACAACAAAGACUUGGCUUUCUCACACCUGCUCCCACACGCUGGGCUGCCUGGAGAAAAGUUACCACAGCCACAGCCCGACCCGCGCUCUCUUGCCACAGACCUUUAGAAGACAGGUGAGCGUUGCUGUAGAUGCAAUUAGGAGGCGGUGGGCGUGCGAAUGUGUGGUGAGUCCGCCUCUCUGAGGGACUUUCUGAGCUGCCUGUGUGAUGGACGGCAGUGUGUGGAAGAAAUUUGUGAGGCAGUGACUAGCCGGUGGAUUGCUGAAGCAAAAGGACACGGAUGGAGAGAUGGCAUUGGAUGACCACAUCACCCAGAGCACUAUCGCAUGACUUGUAGGAAGGAGAAGUCACCUGGAAACUUUCAUGCCAUCAAGCCGUGUGUUCAGGAUCAUAGCUUGUAUUUAUUGUCCUCCUUCCCAUGAGCCUCUCAGGAUUUAUCCUGUCAUGUCCCAGGUCCCAGUUUGCUUCAGUCCCCGCCAGAAAUCCCAGGCUCUAUAGUCAACCAUUAUUCUAAGGACGUGCAUUCUCAC